GGACACCAUAAACUGUUAAGAACACAAGGCAAAUAGGUUGCAAAGCUGAAUGACAAGCCUUGUGAAAGGCUCGGGAUUUAAUGUAGCUGAUGAAAGUGCCGGUGGACUCCAGUACCACACCGGGACCUACGGAGACCACCAAGUGAAAUCAGUUAAGAGCCAGCUCUCAGGGUCACAGACUAGAAGGAGAAGAAGAAUGACAUGAAGACCUGGUGCUAUUUGGUGACAACGGGGGACGCGGGGCCAGCGCGGGGAGACACGGCCAUCACUGCACUGUGCAAUUAAGAAAAACCAGCCCAGCCGGUCUGGCUCAGUGGUUGAGUGUCGACCUAUGAACCAGGAGAUUGCAGUUCGAUUCCUGAUCAGGGCACAUGCCUGGGUUGUG